rnacentral:rRNA from 1 species
GGGUUGUGAGGUUAAGCGACUAAGCGUACACGGUGGAUGCCCUGGCAGUCAGAGGCGAUGAAGGACGUGCUAAUCUGCGAAAAGCGUCGGUAAGGUGAUAUGAACCGUUAUAACCGGCGAUGUCCGAAUGGGGAAACCCAGUGCAAUUCGUUGCACUAUCGUUAACUGAAUACAUAGGUUAACGAGGCGAACCGGGGGAACUGAAACAUCUAAGUACCCCGAGGAAAAGAAAUCAACCGAGAUUCCCCCAGUAGCGGCGAGCGAACGGGGAGCAGCCCAGAGUCUGAAUCAGCUUGUGUGUUAGUGGAACGGUCUGGAAAGUCCGACGGUACAGGGUGAUAGUCCCGUACACCAAAAUGCACAGGCUGUGAACUCGAAGAGUAGGGCGGGACACGUGGUAUCCUGUCUGAAUAUGGGGGGACCAUCCUCCAAGGCUAAAUACUCCUGACUGACCGAUAGUGAACCAGUACCGUGAGGGAAAGGCGAAAAGAACCCCGGCGAGGGGAGUGAAAAAGAACCUGAAACCGUGUACGUACAAGCAGUGGGAGCACCUUCGGGUGUGACUGCGUACCUUUUGUAUAAUGGGUCAGCGACUUAUAUUCUGUAGCAAGGUUAACCGUAUAGGGGAGCCGCAGGGAAACCGAGUCUUAACUGGGCGUUAAGUUGCAGGGUAUAGACCCGAAACCCGGUGAUCUAGCCAUGGGCAGGUUGAAGGUUGGGUAACACUAACUGGAGGACCGAACCGACUAAUGUUGAAAAAUUAGCGGAUGACUUGUGGCUGGGGGUGAAAGGCCAAUCAAACCGGGAGAUAGCUGGUUCUCCCCGAAAGCUAUUUAGGUAGCGCCUCGUGAAUUCAUCUUCGGGGUAGAGCACUGUUUCGGCUAGGGGGUCAUCCCGACUUACCAACCCGAUGCAAACUACGAAUACCGAAGAAUGUUAUCACGGGAGACACACGGCGGGUGCUAACGUCCGUCGUGAAGAGGGAAACAACCCAGACCGCCAGCUAAGGUCCCAAAGUCAUGGUUAAGUGGGAAACGAUGUGGGAAGGCACAGACAGCCAGGAUGUUGGCUUAGAAGCAGCCAUCAUUUAAAGAAAGCGUAAUAGCUCACUGGUCGAGUCGGCCUGCGCGGAAGAUGUAACGGGGCUAAACCAUGCACCGAAGCUGCGGCAGCGACACUAUGUGUUGUUGGGUAGGGGAGCGUUCUGUAAGCCUGCGAAGGUGUGCUGUGAGGCAUGCUGGAGGUAUCAGAAGUGCGAAUGCUGACAUAAGUAACGAUAAAGCGGGUGAAAAGCCCGCUCGCCGGAAGACCAAGGGUUCCUGUCCAACGUUAAUCGGGGCAGGGUGAGUCGACCCCUAAGGCGAGGCCGAAAGGCGUAGUCGAUGGGAAACAGGUUAAUAUUCCUGUACUUGGUGUUACUGCGAAGGGGGACGGAGAAGGCUAUGUUAGCCGGGCGACGGUUGUCCCGGUUUAAGCAUGUAGGCUGGUUGUCCAGGCAAAUCCGGAUAAUCAAGGCUGAGGUGUGAUGACGAGGCACUACGGUGCUGAAGUAACAAAUGCCCUGCUUCCAGGAAAAGCCUCUAAGCAUCAGGUAACAUCAAAUCGUACCCCAAACCGACACAGGUGGUCAGGUAGAGAAUACCAAGGCGCUUGAGAGAACUCGGGUGAAGGAACUAGGCAAAAUGGUGCCGUAACUUCGGGAGAAGGCACGCUGGUGUGUAGGUGAGGUCCCUGCGGAUGGAGCUGAGACCAGUCGAAGAUACCAGCUGGCUGCAACUGUUUAUUAAAAACACAGCACUGUGCAAACACGAAAGUGGACGUAUACGGUGUGACGCCUGCCCGGUGCCGGAAGGUUAAUUGAUGGGGUUAUCCGUAAGGAGAAGCUCUUGAUCGAAGCCCCGGUAAACGGCGGCCGUAACUAUAACGGUCCUAAGGUAGCGAAAUUCCUUGUCGGGUAAGUUCCGACCUGCACGAAUGGCGUAAUGAUGGCCAGGCUGUCUCCACCCGAGACUCAGUGAAAUUGAACUCGCUGUGAAGAUGCAGUGUACCCGCGGCAAGACGGAAAGACCCCGUGAACCUUUACUAUAGCUUGACACUGAACAUUGAGCCUUGAUGUGUAGGAUAGGUGGGAGGCUUUGAAGCGUGGACGCCAGUCUGCGUGGAGCCAACCUUGAAAUACCACCCUUUAAUGUUUGAUGUUCUAACGUUGGCCCCUUACCGGGGUUGCGGACAGUGUCUGGUGGGUAGUUUGACUGGGGCGGUCUCCUCCCAAAGCGUAACGGAGGAGCACGAAGGUUAGCUAAUCCUGGUCGGACAUCAGGAGGUUAGUGCAAUGGCAUAAGCUAGCUUGACUGCGAGCGUGACGGCGCGAGCAGGUGCGAAAGCAGGUCAUAGUGAUCCGGUGGUUCUGAAUGGAAGGGCCAUCGCUCAACGGAUAAAAGGUACUCCGGGGAUAACAGGCUGAUACCGCCCAAGAGUUCAUAUCGACGGCGGUGUUUGGCACCUCGAUGUCGGCUCAUCACAUCCUGGGGCUGAAGUAGGUCCCAAGGGUAUGGCUGUUCGCCAUUUAAAGUGGUACGCGAGCUGGGUUUAGAACGUCGUGAGACAGUUCGGUCCCUAUCUGCCGUGGGCGCUGGAGAAUUGAGGGGGGCUGCUCCUAGUACGAGAGGACCGGAGUGGACGCAUCACUGGUGUUCGGGUUGUCAUGCCAAUGGCACUGCCCGGUAGCUAAAUGCGGAAGAGAUAAGUGCUGAAAGCAUCUAAGCACGAAACUUGCCCCGAGAUGAGUUCUCCCUGAGACUUUAAGUCUCCUGAAGGAACGUUAAAGACGAUGACGUUGAUAGGCCGGGUGUGUAAGCGCAGCGAUGCGUUGAGCUAACCGGUACUAAUGAACCGUGAGGCUUAACCUUACAACGCCGAAG